rnacentral:rRNA from 1 species
GUACACGCUGUGACUAGCAUAUCAAUAAGCGGAGGAAAAGAAACUAACAAGGAUUCCCCUAGUAACGGCGAGUGAAGCGGGAAGAGCUCAAAUUUGAAAUCUUAAAGGGUUUCCCUUUACGAAUUGUAGUUUAAAGAAGUGUUUUCUGUUGAGGUUUUGGUAAAAGUUCUUUGGAAUAGGACAUCAUAGAGGGUGAGAAUCCCGUAUUUGACCUUUACUUUCAACUUUGUGAUACACUUUCAAAGAGUCGGAUUGUUUGGGAAUGCAGUCCAAAAUGGGUGGUAAAUUUCAUCUAAAGCUAAAUAUUGGCGAGAGACCGAUAGCGAACAAGUACCGUGAGGGAAAGAUGAAAAGAACUUUGAAAAGAGAGUUAAACAGUACGUGAAAUUGUCAAAAGGGAAGCGUUUGACACCAGUGUUGUUUUUCUGAAAAUCAAUUAAAGAACUGUUUAUGCUAAGCUGUUUAGACUUUAUCAGCUAUCUGUUUAGUUUUGAGCUUUUCUUUAAUGCACUUUUCAGUUAACAAGUCAACAUCAAUUUCUUUUGCUGUAAAAAAGCUUGAGGAAGGUUGCUUGAGAUUCGUCUUAAGUGUUUAUAGCCUCUUGCCUAUGCAGUCGGAGAGAUUGAGGUCUGCAGCGUAGAUCCUUCGGGGCUAAAUGCAUUUGUGCUAAGUUAUAGCAUUUUAUAGACAACUUGUUGACUAUGAUUUGUCUUGUAGCUUACUCGCUUAUGUUAUUUUACCUACGCUUAGGAUGUUGAGUCGUAGAGCACGCAG